AACGAACGCUGGCGGCAUGCCUAACACAUGCAAGUCGAACGAGACCUUCGUGUCUAGUUGCGCUCGGGUGCGUCACGCGUGGGAAUCUUCCCUUGGGUUCGGAAUACCAGUUUUAAACGACUGCUAAUACCGGAUGAUGACGUAAGUCCAAAGAUUUAUCGCCCCAGUAUGAGCCCGCGUAGGAUUCGCUAGUUGGUGAGGUAAAGGCUCACCACGGCGACGAUCCUUAGCUGGUCUGAGAGGAUGAUCAGCCACACUGGGACUGAGACACGGCCCAGAAUCUUAGGGGAGGGAGGAGUGGGGAAUAUAGGAAAAGGGGGGAAGGGCUGAUCCAGCAAGGGUGCGUGAGUGAUGAAGUCGGUAGGGAUGUAAAGCUGGUUUAGACGGGAUGAUAAUGACAGUACCGGGAGAAUAAGCACCGGCUAACUACGUG
rnacentral:rRNA from 1 species